CCUGAAAUCAGAAUCACUUGAUUUAUACAAUGAAAUUAAAGGUACAUAAAAAUUUGAUGCAGAUAAAAUAUCCUCGUAGUCUUUAUAUUAAUUAGUUUUGAUCCUAUCAUUAUGGUUACUGUGCGUCAUGUUGUCUGUAACAGGCUCCAUUUGUGUGUCACAUACAUGCAUACUGCAGAUGGUGUAGCAGACGGUUUUCUCUCUGAUGUGGAAGAGGAACUAGCAAUUAUCAUGAGGGAUCCUAGCAAACCUAUCGAGGGGAAAUUUGCUAUGUAUGGUAUGUCACAUAGUAUUCCCGACCGUUCUAUUGUCGGAGACUUCACAAGGUUUUUCCUUGAUGCAAUGUAUUAUACUCCAUCUGUAUAGGGAUUGAACUUGACAACAUAAUGGAAAAUGGGUGAGAUUGAUGAGUAUAAUUCUAAUUUGUAAUUCAUAUAUUCCAGUAUCACACAACAGCUACUAAGAACUCAAAAGUAUGGGUUUGCUGAUGCAUAUAAUAUACCAGUUUCAUAUCCAAAGGUUUAUCUGUAGAAGUAGUUUGAGGAUCUCAUGUAUUCACCAUCUAAUCAUAUGUGUUUGAAGAUCCUGGUAAGUUCCAGACACAGAUUAAUUUAUUAUGGAUUAUGAACAAAUUUUCUAGGCAUUUGUAAAUAUGCAUAAACUUUGUUGUGGAACUUUGAGGACUGAGACUUUUUACUGUUAAAACUGAAUGUAAUUUAAGUGAGAUGGAUAAGAUAGGGGUUCUAUUAAGAAUAUUGUGAUGAGAGCAGGUGUUCUUGACUUGUUCAUUAAAGGUGCCGUUAUAAAUGAUGGUGCUAUCAUUAGGUACAAUUAUUGUUCACUAGUUAUGAUACAGAAGAGUGAAAUCUUGUUUUUUGGACCAUUUCUUAAUACUUAUAAAUUUAUAUUUUCACAUGUUGACCAUUUGAAGGUGAAUGUAAAAUAUCAAAUCAAUGAAAUAGAAGAACAUGGAAAAAGAA